AUUUAGAAGACAUCUUGUACUGUUCGAAUGCAGAGGAAGGCGAACGACUCGAUUCUAUGGUUUUGGUAUACUGAGCCUGGGGCUACUGGUGUCAGCCUGGUGGUAGUGCAGCUCAUCUGAUGCCUGGGGCUGCAGGAUCCUAGCUGGUUCCUGUGACAGACCUUGGGAAGCUCAAUCUCAGGAAAAAGAAGAGAGAGCCAACUACUCUACAAAGGAAAAGGGAUGUAGUUUGUAGGAUUUUCCUUGUUAUGAGAGGAGCAGAAACCUAACUGUUGACAAGGAUGUGUUUUCUUAAUUGAAGAAAAUCAUAUCACAUGUGAACUUUCUGACCAUACUGUGGAGCGGUGCUAAUAAGGAGGGUUCUGUGUUCACUUGACUACCAGAAACAUUUCUAGUUUACCAUUAGAGUUUUAGCCGCUUCCAUGCUUCUGUGACUGCAGCUACUCUCAGGAAGCUUCACUGUUGCAGAGGUCCAUUAACUCUUUCAGGACGGUGUGGAAUCAGUGGGGAAAUCUCUAAUUGCUACUGACACAGAGCUUUUAGGGGCCUGGCCUUUGCAGUUCCAGAUCUGCUAGAGCAA
rnacentral:sRNA from 1 species